rnacentral:rRNA from 1 species
AGUGAACGCUGGCGGUAGGCCUAACACAUGCAAGUCGAACGGCAGCACAGUAAGAGCUUGCUCUUACGGGUGGCGAGUGGCGGACGGGUGAGGAAUACAUCGGAAUCUACUUUUUCGUGGGGGAUAACGUAGGGAAACUUACGCUAAUACCGCAUACGACCUACGGGUGAAAGCAGGGGACCUUCGGACCUUGCGCGAUUGAAUGAGCCGAUGUCGGAUUAGCUAGUUGGCGGGGUAAAGGCCCACCAAGGCGACGCUCCGUAGCUGGUCUGAGAGGAUGAUCAGCCACACUGGAACUGAGACACGGUCCAGACUCCUACGGGAGGCAGCAGUGGGGAAUAUUGGACAAUGGGCGCAAGCCUGAUCCAGCCAUGCCGCGUGGGUGAAGAAGGCCUUCGGGUUGUAAAGCCCUUUUGUUGGGGAAGAAAAGCAGCAGGUUAAUACCCCGCUGUUCUGACGGUACCCAAAGAAUAAGCACCGGCUAACUUCGUG